rnacentral:rRNA from 1 species
GACGAACGCUGGCGGCGUGCCUAAUACAUGCAAGUUGAGCGCUGAAGGUUGGUACUUGUACCAACUGGAUGAGCAGCGAACGGGUGAGUAACGCGUGGGGAAUCUGCCUUUGAGCGGGGGACAACAUUUGGAAACGAAUGCUAAUACCGCAUAAAAACUUUAAACACAAGUUUUAAGUUUGAAAGAUGCAAUUGCAUCACUCAAAGAUGAUCCCGCGUUGUAUUAGCUAGUUGGUGAGGUAAAGGCUCACCAAGGCGAUGAUACAUAGCCGACCUGAGAGGGUGAUCGGCCACAUUGGGACUGGGACACGGCCCAAACUCCUACGGGAAGCAGCAGUAGGGGAUCUUCGGCAAUGGACGAAAGUCUGACCGAGCAACGCCGCGUGAGUGAAGAAGGUUUUCGGAUCGUAAAACUCUGUUGGUAGAGAAGAACGUUGGUGAGAGUGGAAAGCUCAUCAAGUGACGGUAACUACCCAGAAAGGGACGGCUAACUACGUG